rnacentral:rRNA from 1 species
AUCGCGAGGUGAAGCAAAUCCCAAAAAAAGUAGUCUCAGUUCAGAUUGUAGGCUGCAACUCGCCUACAUGAAGUCGGAAUUGCUAGUAAUCGCGGAUCAGCAUGCCGCGGUGAAUACGUUCCCGGGCCUUGUACACACCGCCCGUCACACCAUGAGAGCCGGUAACACCCGAAGUCAGUAGCCUAACCGCAAGGGGGGCGCUGCCGAAGGUGGGAUUGGUAAUUGGGGUGAAGUCGUAACAAGGUAUC